GAUGAACGCUAGCGGCAGGCUUAAUACAUGCAAGUCGAGGGGUAGCAAGAUUGUAGCAAUACAAUUGUUGACGACCGGCAAACGGGUGCGGAACACGUACACAACCUUCCUACAAGUGGGGAAUAGCCCAGAGAAAUUUGGAUUAAUACCCCGUAACAUAGCGAUGUGGCAUCACAUUGCUAUUAUAGCUUCGGCGCUUGUUGAUGGGUGUGCGGCUGAUUAGAUAGUUGGCGGGGUAACGGCCCACCAAGUCUACGAUCAGUAGCUGAUGUGAGAGCAUGAUCAGCCACACGGGCACUGAGACACGGGCCCGACUCCUACGGGAGGCAGCAGUAAGGAAUAUUGGACAAUGGACGCAAGUCUGAUCCAGCCAUGCCGCGUGAAGGAUUAAGGUCCUCUGGAUUGUAAACUUCUUUUAUAAGGGACGAAAAAAGGUCUUUCUAGAUCGUCUGACGGUACCUUAUGAAUAAGCACCGGCUAACUCCGUGCCAGCAGCCGCCGCAGUAA
rnacentral:rRNA from 1 species